ensembl:lncRNA
GUACUUGUUAUGGCAACAGAGAUGAAACUAGAAUGGGAUUGGGUGGGAUUUGUUCCCUCUGUCCUCCGAAAUUGUCAAUAGACUGAACCUUGAUUGAGAGGUUGGAGUCCACACUCAGCUGACCAGAAUAAACCAUAGAGUUUUCUGGCCAACUCAAAUGGGGAGAGAGGGACACAGAGAGGAAGGAGGAGGGACUUAGGAAAUUCACAGGCCUUUUUUGAUCUUGGAAAAGCAGAGAGGAGGGUCAGUUGGUCUUUUCUCCAUUGCAUUUUGAAUCUACCAGAGUAGGAUGCAGGAAAACUGAUGCAAAACUCCUGCCUUCCUGGAUAAAGGGAGGAGGCUAGGGAGACUGAUGAAAUUCACAAGAAACCUAACAAGACACAAGAGGCCCUUCCCUCAGGUUAUAUGAGCAGCAAACAGUAGCAGCAAUGUUCUGCCUCUACUUAGGCUCAAACACGAUGGAACCAGCCAACCACAGACUGAGACCAACGUGGUGCCCCUGGAAGACAGAUGGUCAGGCCAUGAGGUCAGAGACUAUAUGAACAGGAUCCAUACUCUGAGACCCUUGGGAAACCUUCUCCGGUGCCUUCUUAUGAGAGACCACAAGAAGCAGCCAACAGCCUAUGAGCCAGUUGAGAGGCCUCACCAGAACCCAGCCAUGCCAGCACCACUUUUCAGACUACAGCCACCAAGACUUGUGGGAAAUUCAUUUCCACUGCUUACAAGACACCCAAACUAUUGGUCAUUCAUUGUAGCAGCCUGAGCAAAUGGGAAAAUAGGCUUGUGAAACAUCAAGAAGAAUCAUUUCGAACCUACUGUGUCUGCCCAGAAUUAUCCACUUCACACAGUAUUUUGCAUGAUGAGUUUAGAAUGCCUUGGAUAUGAAGACUUCCCCCAAAGGCUGAUUUGUUACAGCUUGGUCUCCAGCUCACAGAUUCAACAUUGACAGCUGAUAGGAUGAUGGGGACUUGACCUAACCAAUGGAUUCAUCAACUGAUGGAGUCCUAAAGAGGGAGCAUGACUGGUGGUGACAGAAGCUUUGGAGGCUGGGCUAGGAUGGAUAAAAUAGAUAAUGGGGUAGGGGCAUGUCUAGGGGUGCUGUGUCUCACCCUGAGUGCCCUCCCUCCCUGUCCCCCUCUUUUCCCUCUGCUUCCUGGCUACUACAAAGUAAGCAAUGUUUCUCCAACACUCCCUUCUUCCAUAACAUGGCCCACAGACUGAAAUCAUGAACCAAAAAGGUCCUUUCAUGUUUAAUAUGAUCUUUUAGGUUUUUGCCACAUUGAUGGCAAUUAACUAAUCUAUCCUUUAACGUCCCUUUUUUUGGGGCACACAAUGGAAAGUUCAAAACCAUAUUUGUAUAAAGGUAAAGGAAAUGCCUGUCCUCUUAGGCAGGAGGCAUACAGAAGUGUAGGCUUCUGCCAUAGUGUUACAUGUUACCAUAAAUGUGUGUUAAACAAUAUUCUUGUUAAGACAUGAAUUGUACCCAUCCAGAACUUUCCAUUUUGACUAUAUUAGAGAUGGGGCCUUUAAUGGGGAGGUCCUCGGGGUUGAGGAGCUGGAAUAGUGGGCGAAGUACUUGUGUAAGUAUGAACAACUGAGUUUGGAUCCUCUACAUAAAAGCCAACUGUGGUAUUGUGUUCCUGUGAUUCCAGCCCUGGAAGGAGGCAGGAGGAUAGCAGAGGCUCACAGGUGGCCAGUCGAGACAACUGAUGAGCUUCAGGUUCACUGAGAGACCCUGCCUCAAACAUAAGGUGGAGGGCAAUUGACAAUGACACUAGACAUUGACCUUUGGCCUCCAAAUGCUCAGUCAUGGGUGCAUUCAUCAGCACAUACAUGUUCACGUCUUUCUCUCACCUUCUCUCCUCCCUUCCUCUCCCUCUCACAGUGUGCUCACAUUUAGAAAGCCAUGCAUGAUGACAAUAAUGUGCCUUCCAAAUGCCAAGGAGAGGCUCACUGGAGUCCAGCCUCUCAGCAGCUGUUAGAAAGUACAUUUGGGAUUUUUAAGCCAUCAGUCUGUAAUAUCUGGCCAGGGACUGCUUUAUGGAAGCACACUCUUGUGACACCUGCCUUCAUUUUAUUCUGUGCAGACACAUCAUUGUCUCCAUGGGGGAAGGGGAUUCUUUUCUCUUCCUUGCUUGCUCUUUUGUAGCACUGGAGAAUCCAGAGCCUCGUGAUGCUGGGCAAGUCCAUAUCACCGAGCUACAUUCAGCCCCUUGGAGAAGUUCCCUAGCUGAGGAUUUUAUGGUAGAAAGAAAGAAAGAAAUGAUUAGAUGUUUGGACACAGAACCAUAAUCAGAUGCAAACUAUGAAUCCCAGCAAAAGUAUAAAUUUAACUUCUUUCUCUUACCUGACUUAAAAAGGUCAAAAACCUGCUUAGGUGACACUUGGGAGUUACCAGGUGAGAUUAUGUGUCACGGAUACUCUUGCUUUAAUAAGGUUUGUUGAUCAGAGCUCUGUCACUGAGACAAAAUGCCCAAGGGAAUACAUUUAAAGGAGGGAAUACUUAUUUCAUCUCUGGUUGUAGAGGUCUUGGUCCAUGGACACUCCGCUCUAUUGUUUCUGGUUCUCUGUCCUGUGACAUUCCUGAUUCCCCAGAUAGGGAGCCAUUAGCAGAUCCAAGUAACUGGUCUGCCAAAGUUCAACCAGAUGAGCCAAUGAGGUUAUUGAGGUUGCUUAUGGGAAUAUAGGGAAGGGUUACUUACAGGUGCAGGGCAGCUCAAAGGCAACAGCAUCAGUGAAAGGGCCACUGGUGCCUGGGUGUGAAUUUGAAAUGCCUUCCAAAGGUACUUGUGGUGAAAGCUUGAUUCACAGCCCGUGGUGCUACGGAGAGUGCAUCUUUAGGAGGCUACUCCUUGGCUACAAUGGGAGGUCUUAGGUCAUUCACAGCAUCCUUGCAGGGAUUGUGGCAUCCUGGUCUCUUUCACACUCUGCCAUGAGGUACACAGGCUUCCUCUACCAAAGGCUUGCCUCAAAAAUCUUCUGUGUGAUGCCAGAAGCAUCAUGAAGUCUCCAGCCAGGAGCCCAAAUAAAUUUCUCUCCUUUGUAAGUUACCUCAGGUAGUUUGUUAUGGUAACAAUGUUAGAAAGGAGAUGGGCAAUCUUCCUUCUCUGUCCCCCAGAAGGCUGCACAAGGCUCCCAGGUUUCUCAAAAAGCCUUUUGCUCCAGAAUGACUUCCUUGUCCUCAUUCUCUUCCUAUUUUUGACGGUAGUGUUGCUAUUGUUCAGUUACCUGCUUAGAUUCCCUUGUGUCUAUACCCGGUUCCUGCUAGCUUCAGUUUCCUACCUCAUGUCUGUCUGUUUUCUGCCUAUGUAGAUGAAGUCCCUUUGUGAAGUUUAUUUAGAUUUUUUGAUUACCUAAAAAAAAAGUCUUUAGUGUAUUUUCAUUCUUGAAAAGCUUUUUACUGUGUUGUGACAGAACACAAAUUAUUGGUUAUUUUCUUUCCAGGGAUCCUGAAAAAUAGUUCUCUUUCAUCUUGUGGUUUUGUUAUUUUUCUUAUUGAAAGUCAGUUGGAUGUCUGAUGGUGGCAUCAGAUGCUGGAGGAGGUAUUCUCUAUCAGGAUCUUUUGAGUAUGAGAUGGUUUUAUUGACAUGCUUUUUAUUGAGGUUUUCAUACAUACAUAUAAUGCGUUUUAAUCAAUGCCAUCCCUUCCAGUUCAUCCCUUAUUCCCAUCCCCACUUUUCUCUCCUAGCUUCAUGUAGUCUCUUGUUUUUGUUUGUUAUUUUAUUUUUUCACAGAGUCUACUUAGUGCUAUUAGAGCAAACAUGAGUGUGGGGCCAUCUACCAGAGCAUGGGUAUCCUUGAGUGAUGGUUUCCCUGAAGUAAACAUCUCCCGUUGGCCAUUUAUGUACAAUAGCCUCUCAGCUAGGAACAUCUUCUCUCAGGACUGGGACUUCCUCUUUGGUUUUGGUGGUGUUUGUUGUUAAAAAUUAAGUAUCCAUUGAUUCUGCUUAUACAUUUUACUUCUUGCUCUGAAGACCUAAAUAUUUCAUCCACCAUCUCUGAAACCUUGAAUACUGCUUGCUUUCUGUCAAUUUUUGAACUCAAACUAAACAUACAUAGAAUAUUGUUUCUUCUCUGACUUUCUUAUUUUUGUGUCUUUGCUUUCUGUCUUACAUUCUAGACAAUUUCCUAAGACUUAAAUUUCCUUUCACUAAGUCUUUCUGCAGCUGAGCCUAACCUGCUGUGUACCCUAUUACACUUCAGAUCUUAUUGAAAACUCUGUUAUUUCAAGAAAUUGAGUUUGGUUAUUUUUCAAAUUUCCUUUGUCUUUUUAAAAUAAAGCAUUGUCCCUCCACAUCUAUGCUUCUUUUUCCCUUUAAAUUGCUUAGAAAUAAUCAAUAAAACUUCAAAAUAUGUACAUAUAUUCAAAUCUAAG